GCUGCUGCUGGGCAAGGAGCGAGCCUGGGCUGUCCGUGGGAAGGAACGCUUGGGGUCGGGGGUCUCUGGGGCUCUCACGCGGUCUGGUGUCACCCCGCGGGGUCACAGAGCUGCUUCGUCCCCACGGUUUCCAGCAUUAUUCGUUCCCACGGACGCGUUCUGUGCCGACGUUCAGACAGAUUUUUCAGGUUGUAUUCGAGAUUUCAACGCCCAGCAAACAACAGCCGGGCAGCAGGAUUGGAUCCAGGCGGAGGGAAGGGGGAUGGCCGCAAUGUUAUCCUUUCCCUUCCGUCCCUCAGGAAGGUUUCAAAGAAAGUCGUAUAUUUCCUCCGAAAAUUGUCGGGGGGAAAAAUAAAACCGCUCCCGAUCAGCCAUCCGUUGCUGCAAAGCGAAGCCGUUUAAUUAACACUCCUUUUGUGGCUGUUUGUUUUGGCUGCCGGCUACCUGGGCUGCAGCUCAGAGCAACCAGGAAUGGUUACCGAUAUCCCCCUGGAGCAGAAAAGAGCAGCAGGAAGCCAAAGCAGAAAUGCCGGCCUUUGCUGUUCCGCACCCACCCCUCGUUAUGCUUGGCUGUUUCAGGUCGAUGCCAUCCGAGAUUCAGCCUCAAGGUCCUCGCUUGCUGCCUUCCCCGAGGUCCCUGCAGGCUGCACUUUGGCCAAAUGCAGGAACCCCCUGGUCAGCAGCAGCAGGCAGCAGAUGGCUGCUCUCUGUUGGAGAUGGGUUUGUAUGCAGCUCACUGCCCACUGCAGAGCCUCAACUGGAAAUCACAGAGCAGAGCAGCGCUUUGUGGGACAGACCUCCAUCCAUUGCCAGGCUCCCAUCAACCUGGGUCCCCCCCCGGGGCUUUGGAGAGUGACAGCAGCACCACAGGACACACAGCACUGCUGUGCUCAGCUCAGGGCUCAAUCCGCAUCCCUUCCUCUCCUCAGAAGGACACAACCACAGCCCCCAAAGCGC